UCUUCUCCCUUCUUUCUUCAUCCCUUCCGCACCGCUCCCCUUCUCCCAACCUCGAGCUGGCCGAAGAUGUGGGUGUAGGUGCCAGCACUGGGCACGAUGGUGACCCUGCUUUUUACAGUGGUCACAUCGAUCGCCCGUGCCAGGUCCUCCCCGUGUCCGGCCUCCUUCGUUGGUGUUGGGGCGACGCGAAGCAAAAGCUUGAUUCUCCGCGAGUUCAAGAGAGGCCGAGGGAUUCAUUAGAUUCCUUCGCGUCUCCUCGCACUGAACGGUUGCAAUAACUGUGUCGAUGUUUGGCAGUUCUGGGGACAGGAGGAUUUGCGACCUCAAGCUCUCGUAGUUUGAGUCCAAUCCUCCCAGGCUCAGUUCAGAAGACUUCUGCAUAAUUCAUCAUUUCACUGAACUCUACAAAACAAGAAAGAAAACAACAAAGAGAUGGGAAAGCUGAGAUGUGUCUGGCAUUUGGAUGGAAGAGCAUCAAUGUUGGCAAGAACAAAAGGAGGAUCAUCUACGGCUGCAAUGAGCUCAAUGCAUUGACAGAUCUUCUGGGCAUCACGAUCCUGUUUCACUAACCUAUUAAGUUCGUGAA